rnacentral:lncRNA from 1 species
ACCUUCUCAUUGACAUUGUUCAUUUGUGAGAAUUGCGGUUUUGUUAGGGGAUUGCGUGUAAAAAAAAAAUGUGUCAAAUGUUGCUCUAAUUCUCUUGUGUUGUCUGUUCUGUCCAGCUAUGACCAAACCAUCUGCCCCUGUGGUCUCCCUGGUGUCUGUCCAAGACCAAAGUGGAAUCCUGAAAACCCCAGCCCAGUUAGGGAGGGAGGUCCUAGGCUCCUGAGACUCUACCUGUCCCCCUGGCCCUUCUCCACACCUCCACUCACCACACAACCUCACUGUAUCCAAUACACACACAACCAAGUGCUCCCAAGGCCCAAUCCAGCCCAACACACAAACAUCACACCCUCUGCCUUCCACCCAUAUACCACAACGUACACAUAAGCCUCCCAUCACUACUAAACACACAUUUCAGGAUACACUCAACUCCUCUAUCCCUAGUGUGCAAAUUCUCCAACAAAUGAACAACCCUGUGCAAUUGAACAUUUUGCAGGACCAAUCUCAGUCACCCAGUUCAAACAGUUCUCCUAAUCUCCACACUCCAUGCCGUCUCAGCGGUUCAAGCAGUCCAGACGGUCCAAACGGUCUGUUAAAGCAUGUUGGACCCCCAGCCAUCCUCUCCUUCUCUACUCAGGAAGCACUGGAGCAUGCCCAGUGGUGUGUUGUCCAGACCCAUUGGGAGCAGUUGAAGCAGAUAGUCUCUGUGUCGUAGAGAGGGGACAUUGCUGUGCCAACAGCCUGACAUGGUGAGAACGCAGCACCUUGUAUAUACAAGUAUUCAAUAUACUAGCUCAUAAAUCAUGGAUUGGAUUCAUUGCAAUUACUAUUUUUGUUGCUGAAUGGGACACUUGGUUUGAGAGUAGUGCUCUCCGUGACUGUCUACCAUUUGUUGAUCCAUCUUCCUUCCCUGUCUGUCUCACCGGUCCCUCUCUAUUCUUCAGGACUGUAGGGAGUACGUUCAGAAACUGGAGGAGAUCAUGGAGCAAAAGGCUGUGUGCGUUCAGAGUCUGAGAGCUCUGCUACAGCCCUACCUCACCCAACUGAAAAAUCCUUGUUGAAAACUAUUAGUCAUUUUGAAUUCAUGGAGUGAAUUUCAAUUCAGUUCUGUUUCUGAAUUGAAAACUGAAUUGACCCCAAACCUGCCUGACGUACCUUAAAUUACACCAGGCAAAUCAUUUGUGUGAGUGUGGAGUGAGCUGUAUUUUUUUUAACAGUAGCCUACAGGAACAAACACUUAUAGUCAGUACCUUCAUGAUUAAGGCACUGUACUACUGUAUCACAAAUAAUGAGAUUCCCAUAGAGAAUGAUAGAGUCCUCUAGUGGCCAAAAGGCCAUAUUAGCAUGGACAGCACCAUUGAGGGCUUCCACCAUUAUAAUGUAGUCAACUGGGUUGGACUUUCAACUUCAUUGUCUAAUGCCUCCUGGUGACCCUGUUGGAGUCAUGUCCAACUAGGUAAUCAGGAGGGAUCAGCCAAUUGUGUACAUCAAAAUGGAGAUAGCCUCAAUGGUGCUGCCCAUGCUGUCACAGAUAGUGGCACAGAUACAAAGAUGUCCUCUAUCUCUAUGGAGAUUCCCAACCUCUGUCAUUUCAAGAAUUUUGCUACAAGUAACUUAUCAUAAAAAGUUAUGGAAUCAUUAUAAUGUUGUCUAAUGUUGUACUUUGGUAGUUUGGGUAGUCUGUCCACGAGAGAUUAAAUACACAUGGAAGAAAAAUCACUUUUUUAUGUGGUAGGCCUAUCCUCUGUGGUUGGCCUUUGAAAUGCAUACGCAAAGAAGAUGUCUGCCAGUUCUUCAUCUGUCUUGCCAACAGAUGGAGGUGCUGUGUGUGAAAAUCCUUGUUUUCAGAGUAGAAAAUGUAUUGCGCAAUUCACUCAAAAAGAAAAGUCACAUGCUUUGUAAAACAACCGGUGUAGACUAAAAAUGAAAUGUUUACUUACGUGUCCUUUUCCAACAAUGCAGAGUUAAGUUAUUAUAACAUUAUAUCAAAUAUUGAUAUGACAU